rnacentral:rRNA from 1 species
AACGAACGCUGGCGGCAUGCCUAACACAUGCAAGUCGAACGAAGUCUUCGGACUUAGUGGCGCACGGGUGCGUAACGCGUGGGAAUCUGCCCUUGGGUGCGGAAUAACUUCUCGAAAGGGAUGCUAAUACCGCAUAAUGUCGUAAGACCAAAGAUUUAUCGCCCAAGGAUGAGUCCGCGUAAGAUUAGCUAGUUGGUGGGGUAAAAGCCUACCAAGGCGACGAUCUUUAGCUGGUCUGAGAGGAUGAUCAGCCACACUGGGACUGAGACACGGCCCAGACUCCUACGGGAGGCAGCAGUGGGGAAUAUUGGACAGUGGCGAAAGCCUGAUCCAGCAAUGCCGCGUGAGUGAUGAAGGCCCUAGGGUUGUAAAGCUCUUUUACCAGGGAUGAUAAUGACAGUACCUGGAGAAUAAGCUCCGGCUAACUCCGUGCCAGCAGCCGCGGUAAU